ACGGCAAGUGGACGAUUUUCCGGUUGAUCCCGCCGGACUGACUGCUAUCGGAUUGAUACUAAGCCAUGCGAGUCGUUGUAGCAAUACAAGGCGUACUGCUCAGUAACACGUAGUCAAUCUAACCUAUGGAUGGGGAUAACCUCGGGAAACUGAGAAUAAUACCCAAUAGGCCAUUAUGCCUGGAAUGGUUUAUGGCUUAAAUGAUUUAUCGCCAUAGGAUGGGACUGCGGCCUAUCAGCUUGUUGGUGAGGUAAUGGCCCACCAAGGCUAUAACAGGUACGGGCUCUGAGAGGAGGAGCCCGGAGAUGGGUACUGAGACACGGACCCAGGUCCUAUGGGGCGCAGCAGGCGAGAAAACUUUGCAAUGUGCGAAAGCACGACAAGGUUAAUCCGAGUGAUUUCUGCUAAAGGAAUCUUUUGUUAGUCGUAGAACCACUAGUGAAUAAGGGGUGGGCAAGUUCUGGUGUCAGCCGCCGCGGUAAAACCAGCACCUCAAGUGGUCAGGAGGAUUAUUGGGCCUAAAGCAUCCGUAGCCGGCUAGGUAAGUUUUCUGUUAAAUCCAUGCGCUUAACGUAUGGGCUGCAGGGAAUACUGCCUAGCUAGGGAGUGGGAGAGGUAGACGGUACUCCGUAGGAAGGGGUAAAAUCCUUUGAUCUAUGGAUGACCACCUGUGGCGAAGGCGGUCUACUAGAACACGUCCGACGGUGAGGGAUGAAAGCUGGGGGAGCAAACCGGAUUAGAUACCCGGGUAGUCCCAGCUGUAAACUAUGCAAACUCAGUGAUGCAUUGGCUUGUGGCCAGUGCAGUGCUGCAGGGAAGCCGUUAAGUUUGCCGCCUGGGAAGUACGUACGCAAGUAUGAAACUUAAAGGAAUUGGCGGGGGAGCACCACAAGGGGUGAAGCCUGCGGUUCAAUUGGAUUCAACGC
rnacentral:rRNA from 1 species